UCGAGGAUCUUCGGCAAUGGGCGCAAGCCUGACCGAGCGACGCCGCGUGAAGGAUGAAGGCCUCGGGUUGUAAACUUCUGUCGAGGGGGAUCAAGGGCAACUUGAGUGAUCCCUGGAGGAAGCACGGGCUAAGUUCGUGCCAGCAGCCGCGGUAAGACGAACCGUGCGAACGUUGUUCGGAAUCACUGGGCAUAAAGGGCGCGUAGGCGGCUUAUCAAGUCAGGGGUGAAAUCCGGCAGCUCAACUGUCGAAGUGCCUUUUGAUACUGAUGAGCUCGAGGGAGGUAGGGGUAUGUGGAACUUCCGGUGGAGCGGUGAAAUGCGUUGAUAUCGGAAGGAACGCCGGUGGCGAAAGCGACGUACUGGACCUCUUCUGACGCUGAGGCGCGAAAGCUAGGGGAGCAAACGGGAUUAGAUACCCCGGUAC
rnacentral:rRNA from 1 species